ensembl:lncRNA
CUUUGGAUUCUCUCAGCCAACCAGCAUACAUCCGAUAAUCAACUGAAAAUGAAUGCCUUUUAAUGUUUGUCAGAUGAAUAACUGCCAGUGGGUGGUGAUUGAGUCUCCUCCCAGUAGAGGGUGCUGUUCUCGGACUCUGUUCUGAUGCCGUUUUGAGCCAGCAAGUGAGGCAGCAGCAUAAAUGCAAAUCGAGUGAGUGGCUGUACUUCUGAUUUAGUAAAUUUUCAAAUGUGUUGUCAUACUGGUCACACACAGACUUAUGCCAUUCAUCAAGAAAUCUGGUGCAUCAACAAAUGUGGCAGUUAGAAUUAGUAGCAUAUCAGCAUGUAAGAAUUAUGCACUAACCUUUGUAAGCUUUAUUGUUUUUUGUUUGUCAGAGAACGUAGUGCUGUAGCCAUUUAGGUCUUUGUGAGCCAAAUCAGGAAGGGACACAUUGUGAGCUACAAUUUGCCACUGCAAACUCUUUAGCACAUGCUUGUGCCAAGAAGUCCAGUAGUUGGCUGACCCACAUGUUGGACUGAACCAUGGCAAGCCCAAUUCAAAUGAUGCAACAUUUGCAUUUCAAUCCCUCUCGCGCCAUCUUUAGUCAUUAAUAUUUACAUGGCUAGCAUAAAUCACAGCCCGCAAUAAAGACGGUUUACGUUUGCCUAGCGGUUUGAGGAAAAGACCGAAAUGAAUACAGUGUGCUCAUUUAAAAGCAUUUUAGUCCAAGACCUUUUUAUUGUCAGUAGGUAAUUUGAACUCUCCUUUAAACAUAGGCUUGCAGAAAAAGGCUGGGACAAAAAGCCCUAGUGGACUGUUUUUUUUGUUGUUUUUUUUAUUUCAUUUAUUAUUUUAUAAAAGUAUAAAUUCAUAUUGUAAAUUUUAUAAUUAACAAUAUGAAUAUUUCUUAUUUAAUAUGUGUCAGCCAGUUUAGCUUUUACUGUCAAAGUCUUGAUUAUUUAAGGAAAACAAAUUUCUAACAAUGCUUCUGACUAUUUUGGGUUUGGCACAUUGUCCCUUUUACAUCCUAUUUAUCUACUGUGGGGGAGGGUUUCUGUCAUGGGAAUUUGUUUGCGUGACACUUUCAAAGGUUGUUUAUGAUCUUCCCUCAGCAAGCUUUACCCAUGGAGUCAUUUUUGCUGAAGUGAUUGUAUAGUUUUGAUUUCAGAAGAGCAUUGUCCAGAUGAGUAGCAAAGGAUGCACGUUCUCAUUCAAACACAGCAGAUUUCUGUUCAUCAGAGGAAAGUGAAGGCAAACAACGUAAAUGACAAGACACAUCUCUUUGCACUGCUCUAUACAGAUGACAAAUGAAACCCAGAAAAUAUGAAAUCAUAAAAUAUGUAUAGUCUCUCCCCUGUCUUUUCCCACCUUCUGUUGAAAUGACAUCCUUGUUUAGUUGGUACAAUAGAUCUUAUUUUCUUAAAGCUAAAAAUGAAUGUACCUAAAGCCAGUUAAUUUGUUAUUCUUUGUCUGCCAUGGAUUGAAGUAUUAACCCAGUUGUUGGGUUUUUUUUCUUCCGCAUUUUAUUAAAAAGUAAAAUAAAAAAAUGGACUACAGCUAUAUUUUGGAAAGAUAUUUGCAAAGAAGAACUCGGUUAUAAAAAUUAAAAAAAAGGUAUAAACACAUGAACGUCCUUUUUCAAAAAUAAAAACAUGAACAUUCAUCCCUUUCAGUCAGUGCAAUUUAAAACUCUGCAGUAGUAGAGAUAUUUUUGGACAUGCCUUUUUUCAAUAUUGCACACCUAGAUCUUGGCAGUUUUUGGUCAGUAAUACUUUAAGUUGUUCAGGCUCACAGUGUUUGAGAUCAUGUCUAGACUGCAGUUUCUCAUGUCUUGUCACACAGCUUUCAAGCAUAUCUGUCAAAACUGUAACUUCCACUCAAAACGUCAUUCUUGGUAAGCCUGUCGGAUUUGGCCUGUGUUCCGUUUCUUUUAUCUGGAAAACCCGUCUGGUCUUUGCCAAUGUCAAGCAUCUCUGUAAUGUAGUGAAGCCAUCAACCUUCAAAGUAAGGAGGCAGUUACUUAGUGUUGUUUGAUUUUUCAGAAACCGAUGGCUUAGCAUUUAGGACAAACAUUUGAUUCCUUUGCUUUAUCCAUAUUUUCCUUUUAUUAUUUUUUUGCAGUAGUACCUCAGUGGCUUGUUGCCCCCAAGAAUAAACAGAAUAUUGUAUUUGCAUAUAUUUCCUCCAUCACUGUUUGGAUGAUUGUCAAGUCACUACAUUGUUCGGCUUUCCUCAGUUUUCUCCCGUCGCAGUAAAUCAACUUGUAGCGGUUUUAAAAUGAACAAUGGCAGAUCUUUGACCACUUCCCUCCCGGUCCUGUUCAGAUCUGAAGGACAACUCUCUGUAUCUAUGUGUAGCUUAACACAUCAUCCACAUUUGCUGUGUGACUGUUGCCAAUCACUUCCCUUGUUUGAGGCUUUAGAGAAGCUUCUCUGUCUUUCUGGUUUAGUGUAUGCCUGAAAUGACCUACCUAAGAGAGGGAUCCUGUAUGGUGGACAGGAGAGGGUUGUCAUAAGGCCGACCUCUUUCACAGAAUGUAAAUGUUGUGUGAUUUGUUAAGCCACAUUUUUGGCUUGCCUUAACGAAAGAAGUGACUGUGUAUGCAAUCACGUGUGUGUGUAUAUAUGUUCUCUUGACAGUGGUUUAUUUUGUUUCAAAUCGCAACAAUCACAAAUUUAUUUCAAUCCCACUUUGUAACACAAGAAAUUAGAGAGAAAUCCAAGGUGGUGAAUAUUUGUAUUAACUAUCAAUUUCGAAUUGUAGACUUGUAAAAAAUGUAUGCAUUUUCAUUUACAUCCUUGAACUGUUUUGACUCGUAAAAGUGGGCUGAGGUUUUGUUUUAAGUUAACAGCACAUUUUGAAUUCAAUGGACACAUGAGUUUGAAAUUGUCUAUCAUGCAUCUUAUCGCUGUUCAUCAGAGAGCACGUUCUUUCUCUAUUAAAUAUUAGUUUUAACUUUCUUAAACUUUCUCUUGACACCUUUGUUGGAAUCUCUGCCAAUGUUAAACAUACAACCUUUUAACAGGCACAACUGCACCAGGACAUUGUACAUAAUGUAUGUUGUCUUGACACCAUAUUCUAUGGAAGUCAUAGAUUCAGAAGUUCACUAGUAGGCUUUUUCUGUUUUCACUGAAGGUUGUCUUCUAUUUCUACAAAUAUGUUGCAGUUGCUUUAGGAAGUCCUUAGUUGAGCUGAUAUCCACAUGCUAGGGCAGAAUUUUCGUCAUGCCAAGGUUACAACCUUUGACCCACAGUGAAGUUAUCCUGAGUGAUCCGUUUUAUAUUUAAAGAAAAUAAAUAAAAAAGAGUGGAGAAAUAAAGCUUCACCAAACGAAUGCCAUAAGAUUUAGAGGUAUUUUGUGCAUUUAACAUGCAAGACUGAUAUGGGUAUUUAUACCCUUUGAAAGCUUUGUGGGCUUCCGAUUGACUUUGGCUUUUUAUAUACCAACUUAGUAAACUACCUCAAAACACUCACGGGUGCUAGCUUUGUUUAUCCCUAAUUUACGACAAAGAUAAAUUGUAGUGACCAAACGGAACACGUUAAGAAAGUGUAUUAUGUUGUACUUUUACAUUUUCAAAGCAAAAUUAUUAAUUACGUGUGAAAUUGUGUUCCUCAAUGUAAUGUUCAAAGGACCAAAUUGUGUAAUAGUUCAAUGUCAUUCAUACAUGCUAGUCCUCCCGUUUUUAUAAAGUUGUGAUUUUAAAAAAAAUUAACAAAAAAAAACAUGGCCGCUUAGCUAGCAGAAACUGUGUAACUUGUCACCUGGCAAUAAGCUGUAGUCAUGAUUAAAUGAUAUUGACGUGCCAAUGCAAUGGCUUUUUAGAUGGAUGACGAUUAAUCACUAUCGAUAACCCUACAAUAUGCUUUUGGUAGUAUACAAAAUACAGUCUGGGCUGCAGAUUUUGUGGAAGGGGCUUGUCAAUGUUGUAUGCAGAGCAAUAAUUACUGUAGUCCAACCUAGGCUUGUGAUUUGCCUGAUUAGGUUGAUGAGGGGCCUAAAUCCCGAUGUGCUAAUAUCUUAAGAUAAAAGGCUUGUGGUCUGGAGUUUACUACAGGAGGAAGCGAAGACUGUGGCACAUUUCAUUCAGCAUUUGUGUUAGUAAGGCUGUCAUAUUAAUGGAAUGUACAUGUGACGUGGCAGGUGAAUUCAUCCAGUACCGCAAUAAAAGCAACAAGGUUUGUUUUGCCCCAAUUAAAAUCUGUUCUUGCAUCCAGAAAAACGAAGGAAAAAAAAAAACAUGCAAUUAGUUCUCCUUUCUUUUGAGCAUAGUUUUGGCAUGCUCCGUUAUAUAAAGGGAAUAUACAAUUGGACUACAUGUUCCUAAAUGUAUUGUUCAUUGUAACGUUUUUUUUAUGUAGUUUACCGGCUUAUUUCAAUCACUCAAUAUAAUUCGAUAGCAAAGUGGAAAGGUACCGAAAAACUUUCAAAUUAAUUUCAGAUGAUUCUGUCAUUGUCACCUGACCUAAAAAUAUCUGGUGUUUUUGUUUUCCUGUGCGUGUGCGCGCGCAAGCCUUUUGUAGAGAUCUUUUCACCUCCCCUAUUUGGUUUGCUUAUACCCCUAUUAGAUUUACAGCGCCACAAAUAAAUAAUUUCUACAUGAAAGCAUAUGCGAUCUUGGGUGAAGAUGCUGCAUAGAAUGAUCAGUAUUUGUGUUUUGCACUUUCAAAGCAGUUUAAAAAAAAUUGCCAGCAGCUUGAGGCUGUGCAGACAGAAAAAAAGACGAUGUAUUUUAUGCUAUCAAUAGGAAUAAUAUGACUUUGACUAGCUUUUCUAAAGGUAAAGAUAUAUCUAUAUAUUCAUGACGUACCUCAUAAGCCUAAUUAUAUGCUGCAUUGACUUUUCUCUUCUUUUUUUUUUUGGUGUACUUCAUGUUGUCCAAUACAGGUUAAAUAUCCCCUCUGGGAGGUUUGAUUGACACGAGACUGAGCAUAUGCCGUGCAAAACUUAUUUUUUUAGUAGGACGCCAUGCUGAUGUUAACUGUCAGAUAAGUGUAUUUUUAAAUAACUGAGGCCAAAAUGCAUUUGGUAUGUGCGAUUAUCUGUCAUUUAUACUAUUGUAAACAAUACAUGUGCUCAUCGGAAUAAUUCAAAUUGUAGCCACAUACUGUCCAUGUUUAUGCUUCUGUUAGGACGCUGUGAGUGUCCAAAUAACCUUAUAUAUUCUCGUUGUUCAAUCAAUGAGCAAUUCAUGUAAUUUUCCAUUAUUCUAUCAAUGGUUGUUCAGUGCUGUUCCGUGUGACUCAGGUAUUCCCAUUAAAGGGCUGUAUCUGCAAUUCUUUUGUCCCCUCGAUCCUACUCUCCUACACCUUUGUCUUAAGAUAGCCUUAGAAUUUCAAAUGAGGUACAUUCUUCUAGUAUAUUUGGCCUUAAAGUACAAAAUUAUGCACUAGAAUCCACAACUUGCAAGUGCUUGAUUCCCAUGUAGACAUCUUGGAGGGAAAAAAUAAAGUACUUCGACAUUGCCAUAUCUACCUCCAAUGAAUGUACGUGUCCUGGAGAUGGAAUCACUAGAUUGUUUCGUUGUUAAAUAAAAAGACAAUCAUCAGCCCUAAACUGUCCUCGUCUCGACUUGUUUUCACAAUAAACAAAGUCCAGGACACUCAGCUUUCUGUUUCAGAAUGUCACUGAGCAUCUUUCAUUUUUAUGUCAAAGUAAGCCAUUGAAGGAGCAAAGUAACCAAAGCCUCUCCUGGCAAAGGCAGCCCUGCACAGUCCUGUGAAGUCAAACCUCCCUCACGCGUCAUUCUGAUUGUCAUUUUGAUUUUCUCUUUUACCACAUGCCAAAACUGAAUUUGCUGUCAUUCCUAUCAUGGUGAGUUAUUUUUGUUGCUGGUUUAUUUGUCCGGAUCCACUGCUAAGCUCCUUGUUGUUUUCGUUUGUUGUCAUAAAGUGCAAGGGAGCUUUUAUCGCAAUUUAACUUUUUGUUAACAAUAAUGAUUACAAACGACGUAUGCUGUAAACCCUCUUAGGAAAUAAUGUGAAUAUGUAUCACUUAAUAUAGUUGACUCUUUGGCUUGACUGUAAAUUGCAUUCACUAAUAAAAAUGUAAAGUUUCU